rnacentral:rRNA from 1 species
GAUGAACGCUGGCGGCGUGCCUAAUACAUGCAAGUCGAGCGAACGGACGAGAAGCUUGCUUCUCUGAUGUUAGCGGCGGACGGGUGAGUAACACGUGGAUAACCUACCUAUAAGACUGGGAUAACUUCGGGAAACCGGAGCUAAUACCGGAUGAUAUUUUGAACCGCAUGGUUCAAAAGUGAAAGACGGUCUUGCUGUCACUUAUAGAUGGAUCCGCGCUGCAUUAGCUAGUUGGUAAGGUAACGGCUUACCAAGGCAACGAUGAGUAGCCGACCUGAGAGGGUGAGAGGACACACUGGAAAUGAGCCACGGGCAAGAAUAAGAAGGGAGGAAGCAGUAGGGGAUAUAGAGAAAUGGGCGAAAUACUGAAGGAGCAAAGAAGCGUGAGUGAAGAAGGUGUACGGAUCGUAAAACUCUGUUAUUAGAGAAAAACAAAUGUGUAAGUAAAGAUGCAAGUAAGGACGGUAAAUAAUAAGAAAGACACGGCUAAAUACGUG